rnacentral:rRNA from 1 species
UACAGAGACUGCAAGCGUUAUUCGGAUUCACUGGGCGUAAAGGGUGCGCAGGCGGCCAAGUGUGUGAGGCGUGAAAGCCCGGGGCUUAACCUGGGAACUGCGUUUGAUACGGCAGGGCUAGAGUUCGGGAGAGGAGAGUGGAAUUCCCAGUGUAGAGGUGAAAUCGUAGAUAUUGGAAGAACACCGGUGGCGAAGGCGACUUCCUGGCCUGUUCUUGACGCUGAGGCGCGAAAGCUAGGGGAGCAAACGGGG